GGCUCUGUAGUGCAAUGGUAGCACGUCUGACUCCAGAUCUGAAGGUUAUGAGUUCAAGUCACAUCAGGGUCA